rnacentral:rRNA from 1 species
CUGGGCUUAAAGCGUGUGUAGGCGGAUUUCUAAGUACCUUGUGAAAUCCCACGGCUCAACCGUGGAACUGCUCGGUAUACUGGGAGUCUUGAGCCAUCCAGGGGCUACCGGAACAAAUGGUGGAGCGGUGAAAUGCGUAGAUAUCAUUUGGAACGCCAAUGGUGAAAACAGGUAGCUGGGGAUGUGCUGACGCUGAGACACGAAAGCCAGGGGAGCAAACGGGAUUAGAUACCCCGGUAGUCCUGGCCAUAAACGAUGUCCACUAGAUCGUGGUGCCUCUGACGGUGGCACGGUCGAAGCAAAAGUGCUAAGUGGACCGCCUGGGAAGUACGGUCGCAAGGCUAAAACUCAAAGGAAUUGACGGGGGCUCACACAAGCGGUGGAGCAUGUGGUUCAAUUCGAAGCAACGCGCAGAACCUUACCUGGGCUUGACAUGCUAGGAUUAUCCCUGUGAAAGCAGGGUAGGCCCUUCGGGGUACAACUAGUACAGGUGCUGCAUGGCUGUCGUCAGCUCGUGUCGUGAGAUGUCGGGUUAAGUCCCUUAACGAGCGAAACCUUUGCCCUUAGUUACCAUCGGGUUAUGCCGGGGACUCUAAGGGGACUGCCGGUGUCAAACCGGAGGAAGGUGGAGAUGACGUCAAGUCCUCAUGGCCUUUAUGCCCAGGGCCACACACGUGCUACAAUGGGGUGCACAGAGCGAACCGAUAGCGCAAGCUGGAGGAAAUCGCAGAAAUCACCCCCCAGUUCAGAUCGGAGGCUGCAACUCGCCUCCGUGAAGUUGGAAUCGCUAGUAAUCGCGGAUCAGCUACGCCGCGGUGAAUGUGUUCCUGAGCCUUGUACACACCGCCCGUCAAGUCAUGGGAGCCGGAAAUAGCCGAAGCCGCCAC